GAUGACGUCACAAAAGACGUGUCAGUGGAAGGAGUAGACAGGGAUUGUAGAGGAGCAUGUUGAAAAAUGUCCGAUUACUUUAAUUUAUCGUACAGCGUGAAUAGUGGUAAACAGAGGGGUUCGUGGUGUCGCGUGUGUGUACGUUAGACCGGUGUCGUUACAUGAUUAUCUUUGAGCCUCGAGGUAUCACGUGGACUAAAACGAAGUCAGUUUCGAACUAGUCAGACACGCCGUCGACCCGAAAUAUCAUCGAAAAAUAAAACUGGUGUGGACGGUGCGGUUUUGUUCUCAUGGGACUUCCUCGGAUGCUGGCUUUUGCGAUACGGAUAAUCGUGUAAAUUAUUGGAAGGCUGAAGAUAGAUCGAGGAAUAUUUACAUAUCAGAGGCCCCGGAGGACCUGGGCAACGAUGGAAGCUGCCAGACAGGAAUGAUAGAAUGCAAGAGGGUAGCACCGCCGUGGCGCUAGCGAUGGUGACUCCUGGCUACGAUCAGGACCCUGCAAGUGGGGUUGCCGAUUACACGACUCAUCAAGAUCAGGCUCAGUUCGAGGCAGACAAGAGGGCAGUCUAUAAACAUCCCCUCUUUCCAUUACUCGCGUUACUUUUCGAAAGAUGCGAACAAGCUACACAGAGUUCGGACAACUCGACGUCCGAAAGCUUCAACAUGGACAUACAGGCCUUCGUCCAACACCAAGAAAGAGACCGAAAGCCUUUCCUAAUCAAUGACCCCGAAAUUGACGGUUUGAUGAUCAAAGCGAUACAGGUGCUGCGGAUUCACCUACUCGAGCUGGAAAAAGUGCAGGAGUUGUGCAAAGACUUUUGCAACAGGUACAUCACGUGCCUGAAGGGCAAGAUGCAGAGCGAGAAUCUGCUACGCAGCGAUUACAGUCACCAUGGACACGAUAUGGGUCCAUCGAGUGGCAGCAACGGAAGCAGUCCUUUGCAGGUGCUGUCUUCUACAGGCAAUGAUGUUGAGUCGGGAGCUAACGGAUUCAGAGUGAGCAGAGGCGACACCCUGUCGGAGAACGGUGGUGCGAGUCAGUUGGCUGCGCAAGAGGAAACCGGUAACGACAGGCCGCCGUCGGUGCGAUCAUCUUCCACUGCUCAGCGCUCGAUCAGAUCCUCCAGCCAGGACCAUGACGAUCCACUGUCACCUUCCACGGUACACGGGAGCACACCACUCUCGCAAAUUGGGGCUCAUUCCUGUGCACCAGUCAACGAUAUUUAUCUUGGUCAAGAUGAUAUGGACUAUGUGAAUAUUGGCGACAGAAUAUAUUUAGAAGAGGUUGGUUAUUGGGGCCUCCUUGCCUUGCAAGAGCGUGAAAAUGAAUACGUCGAUGUCGGGGAUGCGAAUGACGAAAAGUAUUUUGAUAUUACUGUGGCUGGUUCUCCUUCACCUGCACCAAGUGAGGAUGAAGACGAAGGAUGUGGCACUGGUACUGCUACUUCCAACCACAGUAGUAGUGGUCAUGGAGGUAAUCACAGCAGCGUUAAGAAAGGAAGACAAAAGCGGGGCGUCUUACCUAAACAAGCUACAAGCAUUAUGCGAACUUGGCUCUUUGAACAUUUAGUUCAUCCAUACCCCACGGAGGAUGAGAAGCGACAAAUAGCGGGUCAAACGAACUUAACGUUGCUACAAGUCAAUAAUUGGUUCAUCAAUGCUCGUCGACGAAUCCUUCAGCCAAUGCUCGACGGUGCCGGAGCGGAUUCGAUACAGCGAGCCGGGAAACGUCACAAGGUAUCGAAACACGUGGUGCAACACCAACAGGUGCAGCAGCAACAAGGCGGUGGCUGGCAAUCUGAAGAUUCUGGGAGUGAUUCCGGCUCCAGCGACGGUGAGGGAGGUGCCGAUAGAUCGAAAGAUGGUAACGAUAGCGACGAAGAUGAUCUUCACUGACCUCUGUCGAUCAUUAAAACAUCAACCUCUUUACGGUACCUUCAAAUCCAGUUGCUCAUUACAGUAUUAAGGUAUUCGAGAAUAGAUUUCGCUUUAACUGUCAAAUACGUAAUUAUUCUCGCGAAAAUCAAGGGUAUUAUUGGUCGAGGUUAUCACGCUCUCUUAUCGGAUCCGACAGUUUCAAUCUCUUUUACUAUCCAUGGAGUAUCUUAGCGUUUUUAAACGUCGUUAUUCGUUAACUACGGUCCGAGAAAGAUUGAACAAGAAAUCCUGUAUAAUUCGAAACAUGUUCUUUCCCUUUCUUUUUUUUUUAUUUUUUUUUUUAUACAUUGUCUGUAAGAAUAAUUCGAUCAUGAUAAGAAAGAGUUUUAGGAUUGUUAUAUUUUUUAAUCAAUUUCCUUGAUUCGUUGAUAAGCAAGUUACAUUGAAGCAACUUUUUUUCUCCUGAAUAAUUCGUUAUUUCUUACGGUUGUUUCUUCUUGAUAAUUCAAUCUUAAUGAUUAUUAAUUUAUGUGUAAUAGUUCAAGGCGACAAACGAUGGUCGUGUAAAACAGUCGUCGUUUGUAUCACUUACUGAACAAUAGACCGUGUUUUCCACGAUGUUUAACAACCGAGUUGUUUAGUUGAUUAGUUAGGAAGUAGUUCAAAUCAACUAAUUUGUAGAAGCAAAUUAUUUUUCGAAAGAAGACUUCAAAUGUCCGUGAACAAUAUUCACAUUGUGAAAGAUCUUUAUGAAGACGAAUAUAUUUGCGUGUAAUAUGUACAUUUUUUCUAUGAUAUAAACUACGAACGAAGAGUUUACUCGUUUAACAAAGCGAUUAGAAACAAGUUAAAUCUAAGGUGACAACAACACAAAAGUCAGCGUUACUGUUUAUAUAUUUUUAUAUCGAAACUUUAUUUCCUUCAAGAUGCGUUUUUCCCAGGUUUCGCAGCGAUAUGACACGUCUUUCAAUGUUAAACAGGACAAGAAAGAAAAAGAAUAAGAUCAGUACGUGCUUAAAGAUCAUAAUUUCCGUAGAAAGUUAGCGAUCUUUAUAUCACUUUAUUUUCAAACUGUUCUGAAAUAAUAUUAAACUUACAGAUAUAUUUAUCCUAUGAACUCUGGGUGGAAUUAAAAAUUAAAUACUAACAACAUUUAAAGUAAAGAAAAAAAGAAAACAAAGAUAAACGUUUGACUAUUUAUUGGUUCGACCAGCCUCACACAAUUAACUCGAUUCCUGAAUAGUUUUGAGAGAAUUUAGGGAUAUUUCUGUAAAGGGGAGACUUAGUACUUUCUAUAGUGUUAUCGAAAAUCGUCCAAACGAGACUAUGUAUAAUAUAGAUAUCUUAAAUAACGACACAAAUGAACGAUCGUUCUCAACCCUUCCUAAUUAAAAUAAGCUAUGACGAUAUUGUGCUACUACAUUUAACAUAGGCGAGAUAUGUUUUUGUGAUCGGUCGGCAACCAUCGAAAUGCUAAAAGAAUAAAUCUAAAUCUCGGGAAAAGCCAUGCGUAAAAAAUGAAGAACUAAAUUACAAUGAAUUAAAAAAAGAAGAUGAUUGUGAUGAUCGGUCAGUAAAAUGGUAACAAUCUCGGUCUUGUACUCUUCGUGCCAUUAAAGAGCGUGGUAACUUCCGCGUUUAGUCUUUGUUCAGCUCUGCAGUGUCGUGACAUAGCGAAGUGCUAUCCCUCCAAGAUAAUAAUAAUAAUAAUAAUAAUAAUAAUAAUAAUAAUAAUAAUAAUAAAUAAUUAAUAAUAAUAACAAUAAUAUUAUUAUUAAUAAUAAUACCAUUACGACUAAUAAUGAUAACAACAACAAUGAUAAUAUAAUACUACUUUAAAUAUAUGAUGAUUAUAUUUUUAAACUCUAAGUGUCGUCUUUAAAAGAAGAAAAAAAAAAAAGAAAAAAAACACAUACAUACACACACGGAUGAUAAGACGUAUAUUCGAAGCUUUCGAAGUUAUCAUAUGUAAAAGUCACUUUGUUAUAACUCCUAGAACUGAACAGAAAGAGUGUAAUCACCUUUGAGUAAAUACGUCGUCUUUUUGUUUAACGGUAGAAAAGGGAAAAGAAAGUUCAAAUAUUUAUGACCAUACGUUUUUAUCUGUGUUGUAUAUUUUUCAUGACGCCGUCUCAAAAAGGAGUUCCGUUCUUUAAUAUCGAUAUUUCGCAUAUCGUUGAUCCGUGGUAACGAGACACUUGAAAUAUUCGAACAAGUUUGUUGCUGAAAGAUUUGAUUCUUGAUACUUUUUAUCGGUCUGUUACUUUUAAAUCAUACUACACGAUAGUUAUAUCGUAAAGUGCAAUUUUGAAAUUAUACGACGUGUGAACUCCAUGAGCUGGUAGCUCGAAUACUGAUCGAAAUUAUUCGACAUUUGCCAUAAAACCUUGUGAUUUCAUUGGUAUUUCGUUAAAUAUGUUUCUUUUUACGGGAUCUCUCUUUACAUCACUAUAUCUUGGUGAUCAAAAAUAAAAGAUGCGUAAGAAAGGACAAAUUAUUUGUAUUUUUACAUUUUUAAAAGUAAUCAGUAUCGUGUAUGAUGUGUCUUUUAUUGAUUGACUAUUUAAUUUAAGUAAUCGAUUCAAUCUUCCAGUGAAUUUUUGUGAUCUUUUAAGCAAUAAGAUUCUAUCGUGUAUUGCGUUAUAGAGGACACGUCCUGCUACAUUUCUUUUUUGCCAAAACGGAGAAAAAGAUUUGAGAGAAAAGAAAGGGGGAAAGAGAAACAGAUUUAACAUUAAUUGUAGAAAAUAAAUCGAAGCGAUUAGAUUAUUAUUAUGCGAGUAUGUAUUUUACAACAUUGCCAAACGAUUUUAACACCCGCUAAAUUUCUUCCUUUUUCAUAAUUUUUACGAUGUGUAGAAGUAGUGAAAAAUUCCUUCCUGUAAAAGAUCGUUUAAUCCUUUCAGAAGCAGGGAUUUUUUUAGACGCCCAACCAUUUCCUUAGAGUGAACUUUUUCACGAUUUAAUGUAAUAAGCUGUAAUACAGUAAAACUAUGUAUAGUACGAAAGCUGGGAGGAUUGAACGUUCAAAAUUUAGCAUCGAAUCCUUUCGAGUCUGCGUGGUACAUGAUUUUUCUUUUUUCUUGGAAUUACAAAAUAUGUUCUACUACUUUGUUAACGAAGAACAAAGCAUAGACUCGAAAUGGUCGAAAUGAUCGAAAUGAUCGAAAAGGAACAUUUUUAAUGCCAGUUGGAGGAGUUACAAAUUCGUCGUGCCUUUGUGUCGUCGCGAUCUGGCAUUUUGUUCGUUCAUUUGUACUGCGACGUAAGAUUCAUAGAUGGAUAUUUGGUUAUGAUUUUACGUCGAAGCACACGCUCGGUUCCAUUAUUCGAUUUCACCAUCAACGAACAAAGUUAUUGUUUCCAAACCGACCAAAUCAGAUGUUUGGGUGGUCAUGUAUAAUUACUAUUUCUGUAUUUAAAAAAAGAACUAUUCGUAUGCGUUUAGUUAUUGUUAUUAUUUUAAUUCGAUCAUUUGUAAAAACAAAAAAGGGAGACAUUUAAUGGAGAAAUGCACUUGUUACAGCUUUGUUUGAUAUAUUUAAGUUAGCUCGAAUUUAUCGAGUACAUUUACUUGUUUUCUUGUAAUUAAACAAAUAGAUGAAAUUUGGGAUAUAUCCUUUUUAUUUUAAUGUUCCUUGUUUCCUUAUCUCAAGAUGUUUUAUCAAGAUUAUUUAUAAGUUAUUAUAUAAGGUAUAUUCCUUAUGAGUAUAUAUCUAUAAAGCUAUAACAUAUAUCUAUAAGGUAUAUAGCCAUAUAUAUGAAUCUUAAAAUUUUAAGUUAAUAAUAAAUCUAAAUGUGUAAAACGAGCAUUUGUACGAAUAAUUUGUUUCGUUUUUGGUGAAAUUGAAGAUGUAAAAGGACAUUGACGAGUGCCAAAACAUCCAGCUUGUUAUAAUUGACACAAAUGUAAUACGAUCACCGCUAAAUCAUUGUAAUGGAGAAGAUUGUCAAAACACGUUAUAGAUUACCCCAUUGUUUUUAUUCAUGAUCAAGUGCGUUGAAACGUUUUCCUGUAAAUCAAGAAUACCAAUGUAGAACUCAACACACUAAGAUCACAUGUCAUACAGCGUUUUUCAAAUCUGUCAUCGGUAGACAGACACAACGCAUUUAUCUAAGUCUUCAAGAUGUUAACGCAAACCCUAACCAUCAAGAAUACCAAGCGUUUGUUAUUAGAGGUCUAACCUAAAAAGGAAGACAGAAACUUAAAGACAAGAGAAGACAGGAGCUCAAAAGUUUUUAUUAGGACCUUACCAUCAUCUAAUUAAAAAUUUAAAUAAUUUUGAACAAGAAAUAUAAUUUCAAUAAAUAUUCAACAUUGAUACUAUUGGAAUUGAAGUAACCAAUUAUUCUCUGAACUGCUCAAACUCCAACCACAGCGAAAUAUUAAUAUUAAUAUAAAAUAAAUAAAAUUAUUCGAAAAGCAAAAUAGUAACAAAAAAUGAAACCAUAAAUUAGUUACAAAGUACACAAGCGUUUCUACAAGAAAAAGAAGGAAAAUCAGUAGGCAAAAGAUUGUAACUACCCGAUUGGAGAAAUGAUUACGUUUAAAACGUUUAUCAUUCAAACGUGAGCCAAGAUACAGAAAUAUCGGUAGGUAUAUUAAGGUGUAUUAUAACAUCUACAAUAUGUUAUCAAAGCUAAAAUUUUGAAGGCAUUGGCAACUCGUUUUUCUGUUUCGAUCAACUUUUCCACGUGCAUAUAUAUACGAUACACUUCCAGUAACGGCCGAUCGGUCAAUGUGAUUACAUUAGAAUCAAAUAUAGGCGGAAAGAGACAACAAAUUUGUAUAUAUACGAAGUUAUCGAUAAUUAGUGUGAAAAGAAUUUUAUAUGUAUGCACGAUGAUUUGAUGCAUCCAUUUGUGUUAUUCAUUCGUAUGCUCCAAAAAAAUAUUCACGUGUUUUUCGCUAUGCCCUUAAAUAUAUAUAUUAUAUAUACUAUAUAAUUAUGUAUAUUAUUGUGUUAUUGUAUUUAUAUUUUAUUGCACUAACCUGUGUAUUCACAAUACACAUUCCAACGCUCUUCUUUCGAUAAGAUAUGCAUAUAUACGUACGCACCUCUACGUUUUUAUAUUGCUAUCAACAUAAUAGAGAAAUUUGAUAAUGUGUGCUUGGUAAUUAAUGUUUGAUAAGUUUAUUUCAAUAAUGCCCUCGGUGAAUUUGCAUAAAGCGUAUAUAAUUUCACAGAUUUUAAUUAUGUUCGUUAACCCUCUAUAAUCCAUUCUGUGACAUCUUUUAUCUGAUUAUUAAUUAAUAUUUAAACGAUAUAAAAUAAAACUGUUAGAAAAUGUUUCUUGGUAAAAUUGAAAUUUGUAAGUUAAUAAAUUAUAUGAAAUGGUCCGUGGAGGGUUAAUUAUGAAUAAAAAUCUUUUCUCUGCAACACUAAAUCCCAUGUGACACAAAUCUACACAUGACAAAGUUUUUCAAUACUACAUUUGUUGCCUGUGUCUUUAAAACAAUUAAUUAUAUUAAUCCUCAUCCGUACCUCGUGUCAAUUUGACGCAUUUUUCACGUGAAAGGUGAUAUUAUUCCGCUAUUUGUAGAAAAUUGAUCUGACCUUGUGAUUUUUAUUUUUUUAACGUGGAAUAUAUAUAUGUAUAUAUAUAUUUAGUAUUGUCAAGGGCAAAACAUGCGAUAAAAGGGUGUGACAACAUUUGUUAUAAAAAGGACCCUAUCUGUCAAUCUGACACACAUAGUUCUUAUCAAGUCCAUUGACGACUAGUUCAUUGCCUUGUUAUUGUUGCACAACAAUUAUGCAUUCACUGUACAUCCCCUCCAGAAUGCAACUAGAUAUGCAUAGCUUUGAAUAUUAAAAUUUCGUAUAGGUAUAAAGAAGAGAAGAGGCGUUAUGUCUUCUUUUUGUUCUCUUUAUCGCGAGACAAAGCUAAGAACAGUAAUAUCGAAGCAAUGCGAAGUAGAACACGUGCGAAUGAAAUCCGAUACUUGUGAAGAAGAAUUAGUGUGAAUGUAUGUAAACGACAAGGAGAAAAAAUAAUUAUUUCGUUUCAUUGAUGUUUUACGAUUGUGUCAGUUUGACACACGAGAGACACAUUAAAUUGUAAAAAUGAGGGGCGGAUGAGGGUUAUGUUAAAACCGCCAGUUUUGAAAACGCGUAUAUGAUUUUUCUACCAGAAGGACCGACUUCUCCUUCAAUUCUCUUCUAAAAAGAGCAUAUGAUAUUUUUAAAUUGAUCAUCUCGUGUCCUUAAGUUCGAACGGGCUUCCUUUUGAUAUUUAUUUCAUUGCGAUAUUUAUUAUCCAUCGUUCAAAAAUGCUGCCAAGAAACAAUGAAAGAUUACAUACUACAUAUGCUAGAAAGAGAGAGAGAGAAAACGAGGAAAGUAUUAUGACGAAGAAGAGAAGAGAAGAGAAAUGAAUAAACCUUUGUGAAAAGAAAGUCGAUCAAAUACAGCGUUGAAAAAAUGACUAAAAGACGAGGAAGAAAGAAAAACUAUGUGAAGGAGUAAUGCUACCGAAGGUCACCGCCUGCUAGUCUUGUCUAUAUUGUUAUUCGGUUACAUAGUGCAUAUAAGGAAACAAUAUUUAAUAUAAUCGAUUUAAUUAAUAUUGUACUUCUAUAAAUUACAUUAAAAACAAUGAACCAUUACAAA